AUUGAACGCUGGCGGCAGGCUUAACACAUGCAAGUCGAGCGAGCGGCGGACGGGUGAGUAAUGUCUGGGAAACUGCCUGAUGGAGGGGGAUAACUACUGGAAACGGUCGCUAAUACCGCAUACCAUCAGAUGUGCCCAGAUGGGAUGAGCUAGUUGGGGGGGUAAUGGCUCACCUAGGCGUCGAUCCCUAGCUGGUCUGAGAGGCUGACCAGCCACACGGGAACUGAGACACGGCCCAGACUCCUACGGGAGGCAGCAUGGGGGAAUUUUGCACAAUGGGCGCAAGCCUGAUGCAGCCAGGCCGCGUGUGUGAAGAAGGCCUUCGGGUUGUAAAGCACUUUCAGCGAGGAGGCGUUACCCGCAGAAGAAGCAACGGCUAACUACGUGCCAGCAGCCGCGGUAAUUC
rnacentral:rRNA from 1 species